rnacentral:rRNA from 1 species
GUACCCGGGCUUGAACUGCACUAGACGAGAUUAGAGAUAAUCUUUCCCUUCGGGGCUGGUGUGGAGGUGCUGCAUGGUGUCGUCAGCUCGUGCCGUGAGGUGUCGGCUUAAGUGCCAUAACGAGCGCAACCCUUGCCGCCGGUUGCCAUCACGUGGUGGUGGGCACUCCGGCGGGACUGCCAUCAGCAAAGAUGUGAGGAAGGUGGGGAUGACGUCAAAUCAGCACGGCCCUUACGUCCGGGGCUACACACGUGUUACAAUGGGGGGCACAGCGCGCCGCUACCCGGUGACGGGAUGCGAAUCGUGAAAUCCCCUCUCAGUUCGGACUGGAGUCUGCAACCCGACUCCACGAAGCUGGAUUCGCUAGUAAUCGCGCAUCAGCCAUGGCGCGGUGAAUACGUUCCCGGGCCUUGUACACACCGCCCUAAUCU